rnacentral:misc_RNA from 1 species
UCGAGUCCCCCUUUUGAAGACUGAGAACGUGUAGCUUGACCCGUCUAGAACAUGCCAGGCUUGCGAACGCAACUCUGCUGUCUGGAUGGAUCUGUUUUGCCGCCCCCAGCUUGCCUUGUUCGAGACAGCUGGGAGAGCGGGAAGAAGACCCCGGCGCGGUUCGCGCCAAGGACGGAUUUUGUUGGGGCGCAUCGCCUUCUUCUCGUUGCGCGGUGCGUUCUCCCACUAGUGUGAGAAUAUGCAUGACUCUUGGCAACGGAUAUCUAGGCUCUCGCGUCGAUGAAGAACGUAGCGAAAUGCGAUACUUGGUGUGAAUUGCAGAAUCCCGUGAACCAUCGAGUCUUUGAACGCAAGUUGCGCCCGAGACCGUCAGGUCAAGGGCACGUCUGCCUGGGCGUCACGCCUCGCGUCACUCGGAGCAGCAGCCCGUCUCAAACCCGGGUUUGGUGCGUCUUGAUGUGGACAUUGACCCUCCGUGCUCUUUUACGCGCGGUGGGUCUAAGCGGUCGGCGUUGCUGGGUUUUCACGCGACGAAGUGGUGGAUAGAUUGUACGCAUGAAGCCCCCAGUCGUGCGCGUGACUCCUGGCCGUGACCUGAAAGAAGUGGAACCCGUAACGACGUCUGCAGCUUCUGCAUGGUCGUACC